GUAGUCAGUGUGUAGUUAGUGUGUAGUUAGUGUGUAGUUAGUGUGUAGUGUAGUUAGUGUGUAGUGUAGUCAGUGUGUAGUUAGUGUGUAGUUAGUGUGUAGUUAGUGUGUAGUGUAGUUAGUGUGUAGUGUAGUUAGUGUGUAGUGUAGUCAGUGUGUAGUUAGUGUGUAGUUAGUGUGUAGUUAGUUUAGUGUGUAGUUAGUGUGUAGUGUAGUUAGUGUGUAGUGUAGUCAGUGUGUAGUUAGUGUGUAGUUAGUGUGUAGUUAGUGUGUAGUGUAGUUAGUGUGUAGUGUAGUUAGUGUGUAGUGUAGUCAGUGUGUAGUUAGUGUGUAGUUAGUGUGUAGUUAGUGUGUAGUGUAGUUAGUGUGUAGUUAGUGUGUAGUUAGUGUGUAGUGUAGUUAGUGUGUAGUGUAGUUAGUGUGUAGUGUAGUCAGUGUGUAGUUAGUGUGUAGUUAGUGUGUAGUUAGUGUGUAGUGUAGUUAGUGUGUAGUGUAGUCAGUAGUGUUGUUGUGUGUCAGAACAAUGAGGCGCCUGCUGAGUGUUACAGGUGUUACAGCAGUGACACAUCUGCUGCUGUCAGGCCUGCAGGUAUCAGGCUGUUGUUCUCCCUCAUCUCAUAGUGGACAGAAAUUAUUUUUUGGAGCGGCACAAAUAAUUUGUGUGGCAUCAGAUUUGAUGCAGAACAGCUGAUUGUUCUGUAAAUAGUUUGAAAUUUUUGUGUAAAAACGCCUAACUUUAAAAACUUUAAAAAAAAGUUGUGUUUUCAAAAUUGGAGUUCAAGUUAUUUUUACUUCCAAUAGUGUUAACAUGCUGCACAGGUCAUGGACAAGAUUUUAUUUUUUAUUGUCAGUGGGCUAAAGCAGUUAAUUAAAAGUAGUGUAACAUAAAUGCUGUAAUCUGAUUACUUUAAUAAACAUGUAACUUGGAUGGAUUGGAUGCUGGCGUGACCACAGUGCACACGUCUGCUGUUGCUCACAGUGGUUCAAGGGGACGCUCAGGGAGUUUGUGUGUUCAGACACAUGAAACAUUAGAGGGAACGUUGGUCACGACAUUAAAUGUUGCAAAUAGUUCUGUAAUUUUCCCAGACAAUGACAACAUGUGAAGUAUGCACAACUAAUUACUGUAGUUUUGAGAAAAAAAACAUUUGUUUCCACUUGAAAAGCUUAUUACAUUGUGGUUGAAUAAAAUAAGUGAUAAGUGUUCAUUUUGUUACAGAGCACAGCAUGGUGGGAAAGGAUGGAGAGAAUCCCCCACUAAGCUUUCGGGUUGGCAUUACUUUAGAUUUUGUUUUGUAUUAAUUGCAUGCUUUGGUGUUUCUUUGUGUUUGAUGUGAGGUGUGGGCCACACCCAUGUGGGAGUGGAGACUCUGCUCUAGUCCAGCUGCCAGCUGUUUGGAGUUGAGUACAGGGAGCAGCUGAUUGGGGAGGAUUGGAGCCCUUCUCUAUAAAGGGAAGAGGAAACAGGAAGCGGGGGUUGUUGUUGUUUUUAGUAGGACACUGGUGCAGCAGUGAAGCCUCGAAGAUCCAGGAUGAAGUGUGCAUAUUUUAACGGUAAAGAUUUUUAACCUGGCCUGGUUUGGCUUUUAAAAUAAUCUGAGGAUGUUGGAGGGAGUGCUGGGAGGCAGAAAAAACCACUGGACUGGAGACUCUCUGUGCCCCUGAAAAGGAAACUGGACCAGUUUUGGGGAAGUUCCAGCUCCCAGGAUGUGAUGUGGAGACCCAGCCUCGAACAAAGUCAGGCCUGAAAAGGCUAACAACCCUGACCGCGGUGGCCUUGGAUUCCUGGCCAGAGUUGUCUUCAGCCAGUAGUUUGACCCGGAGAAAGAACAAAUAAAUCUUGUGCACCCCAUUGCAGUGCGUGUGGUGGUUGGUUACUGGUCGAUAUUAGAGCUACUUUCGAUUGCACUAUAUGUGUACUGUAUCACAUAACCUCUCUUCUACAAAAAUAUUUACAUCGUAUAGAACGGAAAAUAAAAAAGCCUGGAAUUAUUUGCUCUCUACAUAUAUGUACAUCAAAUGACUACAUUAAAAUAAUUACAUUACACAAUUUGAUCUCCUGAUCUCGAUAUUCCUGAGUCCACACUUGUUUAUAACAUGCACAUUUUGUUUAAAGGCUCUCAUCUGUAUCACAGACGUGUGUGGACACGGAGCGUUUUCAAAUCUAC
ensembl:lncRNA